rnacentral:rRNA from 1 species
AGUGAGCGCUGGCGGUAGGCCUAACACAUGCAAGUCGAACGGCAGCACAGUAAGAGCUUGCUCUUACGGGUGGCGAGUGGCGGACGGGUGAGGAAUACAUCGGAAUCUACUUUUUCGUGGGGGAUAACGUAGGGAAACUUACGCUAAUACCGCAUACGACCUACGGGUGAAAGCAGGGGAUCUUCGGACCUUGCGCGAUUGAAUGAGCCGAUGUCGGAUUAGCUAGUUGGCGGGGUAAAGGCCCACCAAGGCGACGAUCCGUAGCUGGUCUGAGAGGAUGAUCAGCCACACUGGAACUGAGACACGGUCCAGACUCCUACGGGAGGCAGCAGUGGGGAAUAUUGGACAAUGGGCGCAAGCCUGAUCCAGCCAUACCGCGUGGGUGAAGAAGGCCUUCGGGUUGUAAAGCCCUUUUGUUGGGAAAGAAAAGCAGCAGGUUAAUAUCCCGCUGUUCUGACGGUACCCAAAGAAUAAGCACCGGCUAACUUCGUG